GUGCUCGCUUCGGCAGCAUGUAUACUAAAAAUUGGAACGAUACAGAGAAGAUUAGCAUGGCCCCUGCGGAAGGAGAAAGCUCACAGAGUUGGUUGAAGUGCUG
ensembl:snRNA U6 U6 spliceosomal RNA